rnacentral:rRNA from 1 species
GAAUUUUCCGCAAUGGGCGAAAGCCUGACGGAGCAACGCCGCGUGUGGGAUGACGCUUUUCGGAGUGUAAACCACUGUUCAUGGGGACGAAGCACUGACGGUACCCAUGGAGGAAGGCCCGGCUAACUACGUGCCAGCAGCCGCGGUAAUACGUAGGGGUCGAGCGUUGUCCGGAGUUACUGGGCGUAAAGCGCGCGCAGGUGGCUCAUUACGCCCGGCGUGAAAGCCCCCGGCUUAACCGGGGAACGUCGUCGGGUACGGGUGAGCUUGAGGGUAUCAGGGGCUGGUGGAAUUCCCGGUGUAGUGGUGAAAUGCGUAGAUAUCGGGAGGAACACCCGUGGCGAAGGCGGCCAGCUGGGAUACACCUGACACUGAGGCGCGAAGGCGUGGGGAGCGAACGG